UUCUGGUUGAUCCUGCCGGAGGCUACCGCUAUUGGAGUUCGAUUAAGCCAUGCGAGUCGAGAGUCUUAGGGACUCGGCGCACCGCUCAGUAACACGUGGGUAACCUGCCCUAUGCUGGGGGAUAACCUCGGGAAACUGAGAAUAAUACCCCAUAGUUCACCACGCCUGGAACGGUGGGUGGAUCAAAGCUCCGGCGGCAUAGGAUGGGCCUGCGACGUAUCAGGUUGUAGGGGGUGUAACGUACCCUCUAGCCAUCAACGCGUACGGGUGUUGGGAGACAUAGCCCGGAGAUGGAUUCUGAGACACGAAUCCAGACCCUACGGGGUGCAGCAGGCGCGAAAACUUGGCAAUGCGAGCAAUCGUGACCAGGGAACUCCAAGUGGCUGGGGUAAUACCCAGUUUUUUCUUGACUCUUCAAAGGUCUUGGAAUAAGGGGUGGGUAAGGACGGUGCCAGCCGCCGCGGUAAUACCGGCGCCUCAAGUGGUAGUCGCUUUUAUUGGGCCUAAAACGUCCGUAGCCGGUCUGGUGCAUUCGUGGGU
rnacentral:rRNA from 1 species